UGACGACGGGACGGACGUGCUCGUGUUGGGGUGGGGACCUCGAAUGGGGUGGGGGCGUCGCUAUGGGGUGGGUGGACGACGCUAUGGGGUGAGGGCGUCGCUGUGGGGUGCAGGGACACCAUCAUGGUGGGACAGACGGAUGUUGUCACGACGGGACAGACGGCAUGGUGGUGGGGUGGGGACCUGAAAUGGGGUGGGGGCGUCGCUAUGGGGUGGGUGGGGACGUCGUGAUGGUGACAUCGUGACAGGAUGGGGACAGGAUGGGAUGGGGACAUCGUGGUGGUGACAUCAGGAUGGGAUGGGGACACCAUGGUGGGGACAUCGUGGUGGUGACAUCAUGACAGGAUGGGGACAUCAGGAUGGGAUUAAUGGGGACAUCGUGAUGGGAUGGGGACAUCGUGGUGGGGACAUCGUGGUGGUGACAUCGUGGUGGGGACAACAUGGUGGUGACAUCGUGAUGAGAUGGGGACAUCAGGAUGGGAUGGAUGGGGACAUCGUGGUGGUGACAUCGUGAUGGGAUGAGGACGUCAUGGUGGUGACAUCGUGGUGGGAUGGGGACAUCAUGGUGGGAUGGGGACGUCGUGAUGGGGACG
rnacentral:lncRNA from 1 species